ACAUACAUACAUACAUACAUACAUACAUACAUACAUACAUACAUACAUACAUACAUACCAUAGCAUGUGUCACAGGAUGUGUUUUGCUACAUGUUUUCCCCUUUCUUUUUUUUUACACCUUCUAUAACUUUCAAAGUUUUAAUCAAUUUAACAUGAAAUUCAAGUGAAUAUGCAUUCUCCUGCACAGACAGAAAAGGUUCAAAAUGUGUGCCAAAUCUCUAGACAUUCAAUUAAUCAUAUAACUUAUAGGUUCAAUAGAGCAAACCUUAAGAAUGUAAAAGAGUUUACCUGUGAGGGCGAGUCCACAUACAGCAAUUUGGUAGGACUUACAGUUUUCUCUUCCCUUCUUUUUUUAAAAAAAUAAUUAGCAUUAUUUUAUUUUUUUAUCUCAGUAAAAUUUACUUGUGCGUUAAAUUUGCCAAAUAUAUCAUGUACCGCUAUGAUGGAAUGAGUCAAUGGAACAUGCCGCUUGAUAAUAACCCGCCGCAAAAUACUGCGCCUCUUGCGCUUCUUAAUAAGUACUCUACUUAUUUAUUGCUUGAACCGGACUUUUUCCAUUAGCAAAUAUUUUUACCAUUAUUAUCUCUCUCUCUAUAUAUAUACCCAUCUGUAUAUAUCUUAGUUUUGAAGCUGUGAUCUAAGAAACACCAAUAUCUCUGCCGUCGCAGAGGCGAAGUUCCUGGAACUUAUUAUAAGAAAUCGCUCCAUGAAAUAUUUCUCUCAUUUACUACGUUUACAUGGACAGCAGUAAUCUAAUUACUGACCUUACUCUGAGUAAGUCAUCCAUCCAUCCAUCCAUUCUCAACCACUUAUCCGUUAUCGGGUCGCAGGGGCAGCAGCUCCAGCAGGGGACCCCAAACUUCCCUUUCCCGAGCCACAUUAACCAGCUCUGACUGGGGGUUCCCGAGGUCUCCUCCCAGCUGGACAUGCCUGGAACACCUCCCUAGGGAGGCGCCCAGGGGGCAUCCUUACCAGGUGCCCGAAGCACCUCAACUGGCUCCUUUCAAUGCAAAGGAGCAGCGGCUCUCAGAUAACCGAGCUUCUCACCCUAUCUCUAAGAGAGAGGCCAGCCACCCUCCUGAGAAAACCCAUUUCAGCCGCUUGUACCCGCGAUCUAGUUCUUUCGGUCACUACCCAGCCUUCAUGACCAUAGGUGAGGGUAGGAACAAAGACUGCCCGGUAGAUCGAGAACUUUGCCUUCCAGCUCAGCUCUCUUUUCGUCACACGGUGCGGUAAAGCAAUUGCCAUACUGCUCCCACUGCUCCGAUUCUUUGGCCAAUCUCCUGCUUGCAUGUUCCCUCACUCGUGAAUAAGACCCCGAGGUACUUGAACUCCUUCACUUGGGUUAAGUACGCAUUCCCCACCCGAAGUAGGCACUCCAUCGGUUUCCUGCUGAGAACCAUGGCCUCAGAUUUAGAGGUGCUAAUCCUCAUCCCAGCCGCUUCACACUCAGCUGCGAACCGAUCCAGUGAGUGCUGGAGGUCACGGACUGAUGAUGCCAUCAGGACCACGUCAUCUGCAAAAAGCAGCGAUGAGAUCAUCAGGUCACCAAACCGCAACCAUCUGGACGUCCCUCCAGAAUUUCACGUAUCAACAUACAGUUUUGGGUGUUUUUAUUACAUUUUUUUUUACAAACAUUUCAAGAGCAGUUAAUUAUUUGACAUGCUGUGUGUGCAAAUAGACAACUGCUUGAAGCCGUGUGCUGUGUCUCAAACUGCAUACUUACCGUCUAAAUCAGGGGUCACCAACACGGUGCCCAUGGGCAUCAGGUCACCCCCAAGGACCACAUGAGUCACCCGCAGGCCUGUUCUAAAAAUAGCACAACUCACCGUUGAACUGCGUCUAAAAUUUGAUAUGCGUUUCUAAUUAAAUUUAAUUAUUUAUUUUUUUAUACUGUCAAAUUUUUAUUCCCAUAUUGAAGUUGACUAUUCCCAUAUUGAAGUUGAAAAGGUAUAGUUCAAAGCUCAGCUCGUGGAGAGUAAGCUAGCGGGCGCAACGAAGACGGGUGGGCUGAAUGUGGUUUCUUGCCCCAAAAACAUGGCCGAAAAAAGAAAGGAAUCUUAUCAUUUUUACAGUGAAUGGGAGGAAGAGUUCUUUUUUUACUACUGUGAAAGAAACCUGCAUGUGUUUAAUUUGUGGGGUGACUGUGGCAAUGGCAAAGCGGCACAAUGUGGAGAGACACUUCAAUACGUGUCACAAAAGCUACCAUGCUAACUACCCACUGGGCAGCACUCUACGGGCAGAAAAAAGCCCGUGAGCUAAAAGCAGCUUUGGGUAAGCAGCAGUCUUUUUUCACGAGGCCGGCAAAAAAACACCCAAAAAGCAACCGAAGCCUUGUUUAGAGCUACACAUUUUCUGAUAAAG
ensembl:lncRNA